GACGAACGCUGGCGGCGUGCUUAACACAUGCAAGUCGAACGGAGUGGCGAACGGGUGCGUAACUCGUGGGUGAUCUGCCCUGCACUCCGGGAUAAGCCUGGGUAACUGGGUCUAAUACCGGAUAGUGUGUGAUGGGCCCGGGGCCUAUCAGCUUGUUGGUGGGGUAAUGGCCUACCAAGGCGGCGACGGGUAGCCGGCCUGAGAGGGUGGACGGCCACAUUGGGACUGAGACACGGCCCAGACUCCUACGGGAGGCAGCAGUGGCGAAUAUUGCACAAUGGGCGGAAGCCAGAUGGAGCGACGCGGCGUGGUGGAUGACGGCCUUCGGGUUGUAAACUCCUUUCACCAUCGACGCGGUAGAUGGAGAAGAAGCACCGGCUAACUACAGGCCAGCAGCCGCGGUAAUUC
rnacentral:rRNA from 1 species